UGAAUUGACGGGGGCCCGCACAAGCGGUGGAGCAUGUGGUUUAAUUCGAUGCAACGCGAAGAACCUUACCUACUCUUGACAUCCAGAGAAGCCAGUAGAGAUACAGGUGUGCCUUCGGGAGCUGUGAGACAGGUGCUGCAUGGCUGUCGUCAGCUCGUGUUGUGAAAUGUUGGGUUAAGUCCCGCAACGAGCGCAACCCUUAUCCUUGUUUGCCAGCACUUCGGGUGGGAACUCCAGGGAGACUGCCGGUGAUAAACCGGAGGAAGGUGGGGACGACGUCAAGUCAUCAUGGCCCUUACGAGUAGGGCUACACACGUGCUACAAUGGCGCAUACAGAGGGCGGCCAACUUGCGAAAGUGAGCGAAUCCCAAAAAGUGCGUCGUAGUCCGGAUUGGAGUCUGCAACUUCAGCCCACACACACGCACGGCCAACUAAGCGGCCU
rnacentral:rRNA from 1 species